UGGGGAAUCUUGCGCAAUGGACGAAAGUCUGACGCAGCGACGCCGCGUGGGUGAUGAAGGCCUUCGGGUUGUAAAGCCCUGUGGGGAGAGACGAAUAAGUUCAGGCUAAUCACUGAAUGAUGACGGUAUCUCCUUAGCAAGCACCGGCUAACUCUGUGCCAGCAGCCGCGGUAAGACAGAGGGUGCAAACGUUGUUCGGAAUUACUGGGCGUAAAGCGUGUGUAGGCGGCUUUGUAAGUCGGAUGUGAAAGCCCCGGGCUCAACCUGGGAAGUGCAUUCGAUACUGCAAAGCUUGAGUAUCGGAGAGGUCGGUAGAAUUCUCGGUGGAGAGGUGAAAUUCGUAGAUAUCGGGAGGAACAUCAGUGGCGAAGGCGGCCCUCUGGUCCAGUACUGACACUCAAGUGCGAAAGCGUGGGGAGCAAACAGGAUUAGAUACCCAUGUAGUCCCUGAGCGGGCUGGCAAGGCGCAU
rnacentral:rRNA from 1 species